rnacentral:rRNA from 1 species
GAUGAACGCUGGCGGCGUGCUUAACACAUGCAAGUCGAACGGUGAACACGGAGCUUGCUCUGUGGGAUCAGUGGCGAACGGGUGAGUAACACGUGAGCAACCUGCCCCUGACUCUGGGAUAAGCGCUGGAAACGGCGUCUAAUACUGGAUAUGUGACGUGACCGCAUGGUCUGCGUUUGGAAAGAUUUUUCGGUUGGGGAUGGGCUCGCGGCCUAUCAGCUUGUUGGUGAGGUAAUGGCUCACCAAGGCGUCGACGGGUAGCCGGCCUGAGAGGGUGACCGGCCACACUGGGACUGAGACACGGCCCAGACUCCUACGGGAGGCAGCAGUGGGGAAUAUUGCACAAUGGGCGCAAGCCUGAUGCAGCAACGCCGCGUGAGGGAUGACGGCCUUCGGGUUGUAAACCUCUUUUAGCAGGGAAGAAGCGAAAGUGACGGUACCUGCAGAAAAAACGCCGGCUAACUACGU